AUUCUGCCGGAGGCCACUGCUAUCAGAGUUCGAUUAAGCCAUGCGAGUCGAGAGGUGCAAGACCUCGGCAUACUGCUCAGUAACACGUGGACAACCUAACCUAAGGUGGGGGAUAACCCCGGGAAACUGGGGAUAAUACCCCAUAGACUAUGGAAGCUGGAAUGCUCUGUAGCUGAAGGGUCAGCCGCCAUAGGAUGGGUCUGCGGCCGAUUAGGUAGUUGUUGGGGUAACGGCCCAACAAGCCUGUAAUCGGUACGGGUUGUGGGAGCAAGAGCCCGGAGAUGGAUUCUGAGACACGAAUCCAGGCCCUACGGGGCGCAGCAGGCGCGAAAACUUUACAAUGCGGGAAACCGUGAUAAGGGAACUCUGAGUGCCCGUUAAAUCGGGCUGUCCACCAGUUUAAAAAACUGGUGAAGAAAGGGCCGGGCAAGACCGGUGCCAGCCGCCGCGGUAAUACCGGCGGCUCGAGUGGUGGCCACUAUUACUGGGCUUAAAGCGUUCGUAGCUGGUUUGUUAAGUUUCUGGGGAAAUCUUCCGGCUUAACCGGAAGGCGUCCCAGGGAUACUGGCAGACUAGGGACCGGAAGAGGUGAGGGGUACUCCAGGGGUAGGAGUGAAAUCCUGUAAUCCUUGGGGGACCACCUGUGGCGAAGGCGCCUCACCAGGACGGCUCCGACAGUGAGGGACGAAAGCUGGGGGAGCAAACCGGAUUAGAUACCCGGGUAGUCCCAGCCGUAA
rnacentral:rRNA from 1 species